rnacentral:rRNA from 1 species
UAACCUGCCUUGGAGUGGGGAAUAACAGUUGGAAACAGCUGCUAAUACCGCAUGAUGCAGUUGAGUCGCAUGGCUCUGACUGCCAAAGAUUUAUCGCUCUGAGAUGGACUCGCGUCUGAUUAGCUAGUUGGCGGGGUAACGGCCCACCAAGGCGACGAUCAGUAGCCGGACUGAGAGGUUGGCCGGCCACAUUGGGACUGAGACACGGCCCAGACUCCUACGGAAGGCAGCAG